rnacentral:lncRNA from 1 species
UAAAACAUGGCAACUGAAUCAGGAGAUCAUCAAUUGUAAGACUUAAAGCCAUUCAGAGGCCAAAUAUAAGAUCAACCCAGGCUACUGCAGCACAUCGACAUGACUUGCUAGAUGAACUACAUGUUGCAUAUCUUGUUGUUGUGCUCUCCUCGGCCAAACAGACCAAACGAUCCAUGCUACGGUCCUGUUAAACCUUGAAAACAAGAAAUUAAGGUUGCACUUACAAACAAUCAGAAAGUGGAUCAAGUAACAAAACUGGAUCCUCGCAAACCGUACAUCAAAAUCAAACCUUAAGGGCGGACGAAGUACCGUCGUAUUUUGUCGAGUAGUGAGGUGGGGAGGCGCAUAGGGGCAUGAAAAUCCAC